rnacentral:rRNA from 1 species
GUCUAUGGCCAUACCAUCCUGAAUACCCUGAUCUUGUCUGAUCUCAGAAGCUAAGCAGGCUUGGAUCUGGAUAGUACUUGGAUGGAGACCACUAGGUUAUGUUGCCU